rnacentral:rRNA from 1 species
CAGGGAUUGCCCUAGUAACGGCGAGUGAAGCGGCAACAGCUCAAAUUUGAAAUCUGGCCUCUUUGGGGGUCCGAGUUGUAAUUUGCAGAGGGUGCUUUGGCGUUGGCUGUGGUCUAAGUUCCUUGGAACAGGACGUCGCAGAGGGUGAGAAUCCCGUAUGUGGCCGCCAGUCUUCGCCGUGUAAAGCCCCUUCGACGAGUCGAGUUGUUUGGGAAUGCAGCUCUAAAUGGGAGGUAAAUUUCUUCUAAAGCUAAAUAUUGGCCAGAGACCGAUAGCGCACAAGUAGAGUGAUCGAAAGAUGAAAAGCACUUUGGAAAGAGAGUCAAAAAGCACGUGAAAUUGUUGAAAGGGAAGCGCUUGCAGCCAGACUUGCUUGCAGUUGUUCAGCCGGGCUCUUGCCCGGUCUACUCUUCUGCUCGCAGGCCAGCAUCAGUCCGGGCGGUUGGAUAAAGGCCUAUUAAACGUACCUCCCCUCGGGGAGGACUUAUAGGGUAGGCGACAUGCAACCAGCCCGGAUUGAGGUCCGCGCAUCUGCUAGGAUGCUGGCGUAAUGGCUGUAAGCGGCCCGUCUUGAAACACGGACCAAGGAGUCUAACAUCUAUGCGAGUGUUUGGGUGUCAAGCCCGAGCGCGUAAUGAAAGUGAACGGAGGUGGGAACCUUUCGGGGUGCACCAUCGACCGAUCCUGAUGUCUUCGGAUGGAUUUGAGUAAGAGCAUAGCUGUUGGGACCCGAAAGAUGGUGAACUAUGCCUGAAUAGGGUGAAGCCAGAGGAAACUCUGGUGGAGGCUCGCAGCGGUUCUGACGUGCAAAUCGAUCGUCAAAUUUGGGCAUAGGGGCGAAAGACUAAU